UAGGGAAUCUUCCACAAUGGACGCAAGUCUGAUGGAGCAACGCCGCGUGAGUGAAGAAGGUUCUCGGAUCGUAAAGCUCUGUUGUUGGUGAAGAAGGAUAGAGGCAGUAACUGGUCUUUAUUUGACGGUAAUCAACCAGAAAGUCACGGCUAACUACGUGCCAGCAGCCGCGGUAAUACGUAGGUGGCAAGCGUUGUCCGGAUUUAUUGGGCGUAAAGCGAGCGCAGGCGGAAUGAUAAGUCUGAUGUGAAAGCCCACGGCUCAACCGUGGAACUGCAUCGGAAACUGUCAUUCUUGAGUGCAGAAGAGGAGAGUGGAAUUCCAUGUGUAGCGGUGGAAUGCGUAGAUAUAUGGAAGAACACCAGUGGCGAAGGCGGCUCUCUGGUCUGCAACUGACGCUGAGGCUCGAAAGCAUGGGUAGCGAACAGG
rnacentral:rRNA from 1 species